GCAGGCCUAACACAUGCAAGUCGAGCGGUAGAGAGGAAGCUUGCUUCUCUUGAGAGCGGCGGACGGGUGAGUAAUGCCUAGGAAUCUGCCUGGUAGUGGGGGAUAACGUUCGGAAACGAACGCUAAUACCGCAUACGUCCUACGGGAGAAAGCAGGGGACCUUCGGGCCUUGCGCUAUCAGAUGAGCCUAGGUCGGAUUAGCUAGUUGGUGAGGUAAUGGCUCACCAAGGCGACGAUCCGUAACUGGUCUGAGAGGAUGAUCAGUCACACUGGAACUGAGACACGGUCCAGACUCCUACGGGAGGCAGCAGUGGGGAAUAUUGGACAAUGGGCGAAAGCCUGAUCCAGCCAUGCCGCGUGUGUGAAGAAGGUCUUCGGAUUGUAAAGCACUUUAAGUUGGGAGGAAGGGCAGUUACCUAAUACGUGAUUGUUUUGACGUUACCGACAGAAUAAGCACCGGCUAACUCUGUGCCAGCAGCCGCGGUAAUACAGAGGGUGCAAGCGUUAAUCGGAAUUACUGGGCGUAAAGCGCGCGUAGGUGGUUUGUUAAGUUGGAUGUGAAAUCCCCGGGCUCAACCUGGGAACUGCAUUCAAAACUGACUGACUAGAGUAUGGUAGAGGGUGGUGGAAUUUCCUGUGUAGCGGUGAAAUGCGUAGAUAUAGGAAGGAACACCAGUGGCGAAGG
rnacentral:rRNA from 1 species